GGAAACCAGUAGCACCCUGGAAGGGAGAAAAGCUGGAGUCACCAGGGGCUGGAUCGAGGCACCACCUGCCCCUGCAGUGGAGUAGUUCCAGGGGAUAGUCCCCUGGCUGAAGGCCACCACAGGGAGCCCUGGGGCCAGUGGCCAGGAGGAAAGCAUCCAUCCGGGGAGGAGCUGGGGCUGAUUUGGGGGUGGGGGGGGAUAAAGGCAAAUCCCCCUUUUCCCUCUACUUCAUCCUCCCUGGGAUGAUGCCAUCCCCCAGAUGGUUUUGGGGGGUGCAGGGCUGGAAGUACCACAGCUCCCUUCUGCCCCACAGUGUUGGAGCAAUGGAGCGAGACACAGCUAAGCCACCUCGGGGAUGUUUGUGCCCAGGGGAGUCCCCUGGGGUCCCAAACCCUCCACCACCAUGAGACUGGUACUUACAGGGGGUCCAGCACUACCACGAGCACCUUUGGGACCAGGAGCACCAACAGCACCCUGUGGAGGAAGAAGAGGAGGAGGAGAGAGGCUUGCCAGCCUCGCCGGGGGGGCCAGCAGGGCCCGGCAGACCCUGCGGAGGAAGAAGAGGAGUGAUGAGACCCCACAGAGAUGGGUGACCAAAGGGGAUGAGGAAAGAAGUGUCACCCCCACCCUGCAUGGCUUGUCCCCUCACAGGGGAAGGGGACACCCCUCACCUGGAAGCCAGGAGCACCAGCAGGACCUUGUUCACCUCUUUCUCCAGCAGGACCCUGAGGGAGAUGGAACAAGUUGGGGGGGGGCAAGCUGGCUCCUGAGCCCCUUCUCUGGUGGCCAAGCGCAGCCACAGGUGGCCAAGGGCUCACUAAUACUCACGGUGGGGCCGGGAGGACCUUGGGCACCAGCUUCACCAUCUUUACCAGCAGCACCCUGUGGAAGAGGGAGAAGAGGGUGCUCAGAGCACAGCCCCAACCCACAGCCCAGCGAUGUCCCCGUGGGACUCUGCACCCCCCCGAACGAGGUGAGGGGCUGGAUGCAGCCGUAGCAUCCUUCGAAGAACAGGAGAAGCCGCAGCGAGCUGCCCGCAGCCACGUCACCCCCCUGCUGUCUCCACUCCAGAGCUGCUGGCAGCCACCGGGCUGGAGUCCCAGCCACCUCAGCCCACCACCGUCCUCAUCCUUGGAGCCUUCCCCAGCUCAGCUGCCCCACGCCCCGUCCCUGCCGCCUCACGCCGGGGUGAAGCUCCCUGCCAAGCCCCAGCCUGGCUGGGCUCUGGUGAAUACUUACAACGGCGCCGGGGGGACCGGGAGCACCUCUCUCGCCGGGCUUGCCAGGCUCACCCUGAAAGCAAGAGAGCAGGAUGAGACCCAUGACGGUACCGCGAUACCCACAGGCAGGAACCUACAGGCUGGAGGAUGCACCAGCGCAGCCCUCCCUGGGGGACAUGUGUCCCCUGAGCCACCCCUCCCUGAGCACCUGCCCCAUGGGAGCCACACGCCCACCCGCAGCCACUGUCCUGGUGGUGGCGGUGGCCGGUGGGCAGGAGUCCCUCAUGGACCAGGACUCUAGGCAGCAGCACCUCCAGCAGCCCCCCAGGGGAGGCAGCGCCCGGUCACACUCACCGCAGCACCUUUGGGACCAGGGAAACCCAUCACACCAGCUUGACCUCUGGCACCAGGGGGGCCGGGGGGGCCGGGGCGACCAUCUUGACCAGCGGGACCCUGUUAUGGGGGGAGUGAGCACCCGGUUAGCAGACGCCAUGGCGAGCUGAGGGAGGAGCAGGGCAUUGGUGGGUACAACUUACGGGGGGGCCAGUCUUGGCCGUCAGGACCAGGGCUCCCAGGGCUUCCAGUCAGACCCUGCAAGGGAGCACGAGGUGGGUUAGGAGCUCAGGUCUCCCAAGAGAUGCUCCAGUGAAUGUGAGCAUCCUGGAAAGCAGCUUCGUCACCAGCAUGGAGAGCACAGCAGCCAGCAUCCAACCCUGGAGCAGAGCCACCAGUGUGGUGGCCAUGCUGAUGUGGCUUGCUGCUCCUUGUAGCCACUGUGCCAUCGUGCCCACCACCCUGCCAUGCUCACCUUAGCACCAGGGAGGCCAGGUUCCCCAGGGCGUCCAGCUUCACCAGGAGAUCCUUUGGGGCCGGCAGGGCCAGGGGGAGCCACGCUCGCCGGGGGGACCCUGUGGGGAGGGUGGGAGAGAGGACAGAGGUUACCCCAGCUGCAGGACAGCACCCGGGGAUGAGGACCGGAGCAGUGUCACCAGAGCUGUCAGUGGCGCAGAAUGAGUCUCACCACCAAGUGGGGACAGGUGACAAGUGUCCGGUGUCCCCACCGCCCUGGAGGACACGGCUUUCUCGCCCAGACAGGCAGGAGGGAGGUGUGGGCACCUACCUUGGGACCAGCAAUGCCAUCAGCACCAGGGAAGCCGCGGCUGCCAGGAGCACCCUGCGCGGGACAUGAGAGGGGUUGACCAUCAGCACCGGGGUUCCCCUGCGGAGAGAAAGAGGAGGAAGGUUAUGCCAGGGCUGUCAGGACAUAAGGCCAAAGGACAAGGAGCCAUCAGAUGCCACUUACAGCAGGACCAGCAGCGCCAGCAGGGCCAGGGGGACCGGGCUCACCACGGGCACCCUGCGGACCUUCACUGCCACGAGCUCCCUGGGGACCGGUUUCACCCUGGGGAGGAAAAGGAGGAAGGAAGAGCUGUGAGCACAGAGGCUGCCCCUGAAACCUCUGACAUGGCUGGUUGCUCCCUCCAUCUGCAGCUCCCUUCCCGUGGAGGUAAAGCCUGGAGAGAUGCUGAUGGGACUUGGCUGGAGAUGACCCCAUCUGCCUCACUGUUCCAGGCAGCAGCAAGCCCAUGGCACUUUGGGCUUUUUAAUUUCUUGGCCACAUGGGUAAUCCAUUUGAUGCCCCGUCCUUUUCCCCCCACCCCAUGCUCCAGUUUCCACCAGUUUCUCCCAGCCCAGGAGAUGCCACCUGGGAGGAGAUGGCCAGGCAGGUCCUACCUUAGCACCAGCAGCACCAGGGAAGCCAGGGGGACCAGCGGGGCCAGUUGGACCCUAGACAGGAGAGAGGGCACAUAUCAGAGGAGGGAUCCCACCUCACACAUCUGGUGCUGGUGGGUUUUCUGGGCAGCAGAGCUCUGACCCCCAGCCAGGUAUCCCAGACAUGGUAGAGCUGGGAUGGAAUCUCCCUCCGGAGAAGCUGGAGCUGAUGCCAGGUGCUGGCAAAGGGUGGAUGGUUUUGGGGGUUACUUACGGGAGGACCGGCAGCACCAGGAGCACCAUCGUUACCACGAGCACCCUGUGGGAGAGGAGGCACCCAUUAGUGAUGCCCACCAGCAGGAGAGGUGGCCCCCAGUCCCCCCUGCACCCCAGGGCAGGGGAUGCUCAGCCCUACCCAAACCAGGUACUUACAGCAGGGCCAGAAGGACCAGGACGGCCUCUCUCGCCGGGAAGCCCACGAGGACCCUGGGGAAGGGAGGACACAUCUGAGUCACCAGAAGAGACACUUUCCCCUUUCCAGGCCUUCUCCCAUCCCUGUGCCCACCUCGUUCCCCCCCUGCUCCUGCCCACAGUGACAUUUCCAAGAGGUUAAACCCCCUCCCACCCCAUUCGCUGGGGCAUCCCUGGGAAGCAUCCCCAAGGACGAGCUGUUCCCCCAUCAGGUCUUGCCCCCCAUCCCCAUCCCUGUCCCCUUUUGCUGGCCGAGGCCAGAUCACUGCCAUGGUCCCUGGAGGCUCCAGCACUCACCAUCUGCCCAGGAGCACCGUUCUCCCCGGGGCUGCCGGGCUCACCCUAGGAGAAAAGACAACAUUGAGGGAGCUGCGCCGGAGGGAAGGAGGGAGCAGCGAUGACUUUCCUGGGAGGACAGGGGUGACACUGCCACUGCUCCUCACCUUGGGGCCAGCAGGACCAGGCUCACCCUUGGCACCAUCCAGACCACUGAAGCCCUGGGGAGCAGGAGAGAGAAGAGGGGGGUCAGGAGGGGACGCCCCAGUGAGAUCAGGCUCCCCCUUCCCCUAAAUCUUGCAAGUGUGGGAGGAGGGACUCACUCUGUGACCCUUCAUGCCUGGCAGACCGGCUGUUCCUGGGAGACCACGUGCGCCCUAGGAGAAAAGGGAAGUGGUGAUGGAGGUGCUCGGGUGGGCUGUCCCCACAUCCCACUACCCCUGUCCCCAGUGGGGACAGGUAGCUGGUGUUACAUCCUUGCUUUGCCACCAGGCAGGCCACAGUGGGGGUGCCCCUCCUGUGCCCCCUGGGGGGGGCACCCUGGCCAAGAGCAGAUCACCUGGGGGCCGGGUGGACCGCGCUCUCCGGGACGGCCGGGCUUUCCAGCUUCACCCUAAGGAGAAGGACACUGUGUUGGUGGCAUGUCCCCAAGGCAAGCAGCUUCUGCUCCCCUGGGGGGCUGGCAGGGCCACCAGGCCCCAAAUGGAAAGGGGAGAAGACCCUAUCCACAGGUCGCUUACGUCAUCUCCAUUCUUGCCAGGGGGGCCAGCAGGACCACGGGGACCCAUGGGACCCUAGGAGAGAUGCAGGGCAGGGGUGAGGAUGCUGUGGGUGACAGCUGUCCCCUGUCACCUGGGCUGGACAGUGCCAGGCUCUGGCAGCCCCAUUCCCAUGAUCCCAGAUGAGAUGUCCUGGAGCAGGGACAGCAUAGCCAUGGCCAGGGCUGGGAACAGGCAGCCUUGUCCCCAUCCCUGCAGGAUAUCAGGCUGGAGAGGGAGGUGGCAGGACUCACAGAUGCACCAGGCUCUCCGGGUUCACCAGGGGGACCUUGGAAACCUUGAGGACCCUGUGGGUUGGUAGGGAAAAAAAGAUAAAAGAAAAGGGGGGAAGGGGAGGAAUGGGUUAGAAAAUUAGAAGGUUUGGCCUGAACACCCCAGUGGCAAUGGCAGUCCCCCUGCCUCCCAUACGGUGGCACAAGGACAUGCAUCCCCAUGUAUUCCUGUAGCCACUGGGAAGAGUGGGACACCCCAUCCUGCCCUCACCCCCAUCCCAUCCCACCUGGCCUCCCACCACCCAAAGGGGCCCAUGGGGCUGCUGUCCCCCUAACGAGGGGAGGAGGAGAUACUCACAGGAGCACCAGGAGGACCGGGGAGACCGCGGGGACCAGCUGGACCCUGGGAAGGAUAACAGAAAGUGGUGAUGAGUGGCUGCCAUGUUACUCUGUCCCCAUCCCUGUCCCCAUCACCAGCCAUUCCCUGUCUCCGUUGCCACCCCAUCCCUGUCCACACUGCUACACCACUACCACCCCAUCACCACCCCAUCCCUGUACCCAUCAGCACCCAUUCCCUGUCCACAUUGCCACCCCAUCCCUGUCCCAAAUCACUAUCCCAUCCCUGUCCCCAUCACCUCCAGGACCAAUGUCCCUCCCCAUCCCUCCCACCUCCUACCGCUUGGCAGCAUCCUCAGCACUGCAGCAUGGGAAGUGCUCCUGGUGCCUCACCUGGCUUCACACCUCCCCCUGUCCCCUGUGUGUGUCCCCAGGGGACCAGUGCCACCCCGGUGCUCACCAUGGGGCCAGGCACGGCCAUGCCACCGGCUUUCUCAUCGUAGCCAUAAGACAUUUGAGGAGCGAAGUUCUGCAGGCAGGAGGGAGAGCAGGGGGUGAGCAGGGCACAGGCACCCCCGUGGGGGUCUGUGCACCGGGGACCCCCCCAUACUCACUCCGCCAAGGCCUGGAGGACCUGGAGGGCCUGGGGGUCCCGGGAGGCCAGGCUGUCCAGGGAUGCCAUCUCUGCCAGGGGGGCCGGGGAGUCCCUGUGGGGAGAGAAGAGGAGGGUGAGCUCCAGCAGGACGGGGGACCUGGCUGAGCUGGGAGGGUCCUGCAGCGGCAAUACCCACCCUGUCUCCUUUGGGGCCGGUGUCUCCCUUAGGGCCCUGUCAGGGAGAGAUGAAAUGGGUCGUUAGAAAAGGGGGUCUCCAAAAACAGGUGGGGGCUGCCACAGGGUUUGGGGGCACAAGGGAGCCCUUACCUCUACUCCAGCGCUUUCUGGGUAGACAGGGGAGGCUGCGGGAGGAAGGACGGGCAUUGAGAGGAGCCCAGCAUGCCCCAUCCCCCCACCCAAACCCACCCCCAUCCCGCAGUCUGGGCACCCAGGGGGAGGGAUGCUGAGCCAGCACAGGGUCUGGCUCCCUGGGGACAACGAGCCUGCGUGGGGCUGGGGCCAGGGGGACACGGAGGUGGCACAGUACCGUCGGUGUCGGGACAGAUGGGGCAGCACUCUCCGAAGGGGAUCUCAGCAUUGGGGCAGUCGGAGGUGUCCUCGCAGAUCACCUCAUCGCAGAGGAUGUUGCCACUGUCGCAGACGCAGAUCUGGCAGGGUUCGGGUUUCCACACAUCCUUGUCGUUGUAUGUUAGCCCA